rnacentral:lncRNA from 1 species
UCCUCAUAGGCAGGGAACCACUCCAGGCAUUCUUAUGUCUGUCCCUUUGAUAGAAGAGCAUGCACCUUCAUGCAGAGCAGUGAGGUUAGUAUGUAUUCCACUAUCACCUACUUGGCGGUGCUAGCACAGUCUGCCCCCGUUUGACCCACUCCUGGAGUGCUGAUCUUACGACGCAUGCGCACCAACCUGUGUGGUCCCGUGUAAACAGACCUAUAUGCCGGUUGGCUGUAUAGAAAUCUAGCUCUCUGCACACUGUAUGUACUCACCACCCCUUGGAAGGCUGGCAGCUCUGUAGCAGGGAAAUAGGCCAGGUUGCCCAUGGGCAUCGUGCCGACAAAGCAGAUGGGCCCAGUGGGGGCAGGCAACCGAACACGUAUGUCCUUUCUGGACUUGUGCGUAUUUAGCUUUGUGUCUUUGAUUUAUAGAAGACAAAUUCUUGAGCAGAAAGUCUGCAUUCGUGAAAUAAGAGUCAGAAAUAGUUAGCUCUCAGCCUUAAUUAAAACAUUCACGUUAAGGAUCCGGGAGAACUCAUCUCACUUAGAACUCUUACAGAGUAACUGGGUACAGACUUCUAUGGUAAAUCAUUCCUUACUAAGUGGGGUGAGGCUGUGCCUUUCUACCUUAGAAUCUCACAAACUCAUCAGGAGGCCUAAUCUUGGGAUUUUUUGUUUGUUUGUUUGUUUUUGCCUUUCUUUCUUUUUUAUUAGAUAUUUUCUUCAUUUACAUUACAAAUGAUAUCCCAAAAGUCUGUUAUACCCUCCCCCUGCCCUGCUCCCCAACCCACCCACUCCCACUUCCUGAUCUGCCAUUCCCCUGUACUGGGGCAUAUGAUCUUCGGAAGACCAAGGGCCUCUCCUCCCAUUGAUGACUGACUAGGCCAUCCUCUGCUACAUAUGCAACUAGAGACACCUAAUCUUGUUUUAUAAAGACCAACUUUGUUGGAGAAUCAUGGAUAGCAAUGAAUGAUCCUUAUAAAGUAUCAUUAUUUGAAAAUAUUAUUAAAAUACAUUUCCGAAACCUUUUAAUUUGCUCAUUUUUAUAAACAAAGAACUAAAUCUCUCAUUUCAUUUUCCUGGAGGUGACACUGUGGAGAUAAGACACAUGCUGUUGAAUAGGCAAAUAUAUUUAUACAUUUUUUAUAAUUUUUCAAUAAUAUCUGUGUCAUGUCCCAUUUGUGUAAGGUAAAAACUUGAAAGGCAGAACAAGUAAUUUAAAGAUAUGUAAAUUACCUUAAUGAGCCAACAUUUUAUCAUUCUAAAGUAAAAAAUCUCUACUAAUAAUCUAUACUGACACUACACGAAAUUUAUGGAUAUUGCUAAGUUAUUUAUAUGCACUCAUGUGUAUUUGUGGUUAGUGUUCAUAUGUGUGUGCACAUGUGAUACGUGUAUUCAUAUGUUCAUGUGUGCGUAUGUGUGAAUGUUUGCAAGUAUGGAGGCAUACAGAGGCCAGGGGUUGACAUUUGACACCUUCCUUCACAAAUCUCCUCCUUGUUUUCAGAUAGUCUCUCUUGCUUAAUUUGUAAGCCACUAAUUCAGUGAGACUGGCUGGAUAGCAAGUCUCAGAGACUCUCCUAGCUCAGCUCCCAAUUCUGGAGUUCAGGAACAUGGUUUUCUUGUAUGUCUACCAUAUAUAUAUAUACAUAUAUAUAUAUAUACAUGCUCAGGUUCUCCAUAUAACUCCUGAGUAGUUAAGGCAAGCCUGGGAAGCUAAUGUUACAGAUGGAGAAGCAAGGGAUCAUGCAGAUGAAGUGAUUCAGCUUUAAGAACACCUACCAUUUAUCAUAUUAACUUUCUUUUUAAAAACAUGUUUAUUUAGCUGGGCAGUGGUGGUGCACGCCUUUAAUCCCAGCACUUGGAAGGCAGAGGUAGGCAGAUUUCUGAGUUCGAGGCCAGCCUGGUCUACAAAGUAAGUUCCAGGACAGCCAGGGCUAUACAGAGAAACCCUGUCUCAAAAAACCAUAAAAACAAAACAAAACAAAACAAAAACAAAAACAAAAACAAAAAAACGGAAAAAAAAACAUGUUUAUUUAUUUGUGUGUGUAUCUUCAUGAAUUUAUGGUGCCUGAAAGGGCCAGAAGAAAGUAAUAGAUUCUCAAGAACAGGAGUUAAUGAUAACUUAUGAGCUACCAUAUAGGUGCUAGGGACUAAACCAAAGUCCACUGGAAGAGUAGUAUCUAUUUCUAAUGGCUAAGCAUCUCUACAUCCCAUAAGCUCUUAUUUUGACACAUUAGAAACAACACAUGCAAAUUGUUGUUUAGAUUUACAAUGAAAACACACAGACUGCUACUUUUGGACAUAAGGUUGCUAAUGCAACAUUCAAGUCUUAAGAACCUAUCAAAAAUCUUUUGAAAGUGGCCUUGAGUGUAUUUCAGAUAAAUGCUGUCUUUCAAAUAAGAUGUAACCGUUGCUUUAUUGGAAUUGAUGCCCGAUACUGAGUUUGGGCAGAGCAAAUGCUCCCUGGCAGCUGGUGCUGUAGCCUGCAAAGUUACUGUGUCUUUCUGUUGUCAGGGGCUUGCAAAAAAAAAAUCGGUUGAAAAAUUUGCAGAGAUACAUAAAGGAUUUCUUUUAAAGCUGUAUACAUUUCACAGAAUCCAAAAGAAAAAUAUUCUAGGAAGCAGUGAUGUAUGAUAGAGAAAUAACCUUGGUCAGUUGUGCAGAGAGCUUGGCACUCAAAGACAAAUGAGCUUGGGACACAAUGGAGCUUUACAUACAAGAUGAGCUACUAUGUGGAUCAGAUGAAAACUCAGUCUCUGAAACCCACAAUUUGCUUCCAGCUCCUCGAAAUGUGGAAAAACAUUCUGAGAACCCGGAGUGGGCAUAUCUCAGCUGACAUUCCUUCCUCCACUGCUCGGCCUGCUCGACAGUUUCUGUGUUUCCCAAGUUUGUCUCCACCUUUCACUGCCCCCACCCCAGACUCCCCACCUCCUUCUGAAGCUCAGUUCAUGAGCUCCUUCCUGGUAGGAUGCUAAAUGCUGCUUUGGGAAAUGUUUAACUCCUUUGCAAAGUUUGAAAACCCAUUGUGACAUCAAAGACUCUUCACUGUCCUGCCGAUCUAUGGUGAAAGUGUCAUAUUUAGCAACAAGAGUCUUUUGAAUAGACAGUUCCACUAUUGCAAUAAAGCCACUCCUCCAGCACAGAGUGGGGGAAUUACAAAUGAGUAAAUCCUUAACCAAUUUACCAAGCUACGAGCAACCAGUAGGUUUUACAAGAGUCCAAAGAGAGUGAAGAUUAUAAUACUGCCCAUGGAACCCAGUGUGGGCAUGCUGGAGGC